rnacentral:rRNA from 1 species
GACGAACGCUGGCGGCGUGCCUAAUACAUGCAAGUCGAACGAACUCUGGUAUUGAUUGGUGCUUGCAUCAUGAUUUACAUUUGAGUGAGUGGCGAACUGGUGAGUAACACGUGGGAAACCUGCCCAGAAGCGGGGGAUAACACCUGGAAACAGAUGCUAAUACCGCAUAACAACUAGGACCGCAUGGUCCGAGUUUGAAAGAUGGCUUCGGCUAUCACUUUUGGAUGGUCCCGCGGCGUAUUAGCUAGAUGGUGAGGUAACGGCUCACCAUGGCAAUGAUACGUAGCCGACCUGAGAGGGUAAUCGGCCACAUUGGGACUGAGACACGGCCCAAACUCCUACGGGAGGCAGCAGUAGGGAAUCUUCCACAAUGGACGAAAGUCUGAUGGAGCAACGCCGCGUGAGUGAAGGAGGGUUUCGGCUCGUAAAACUCUGUUGUUAAAGAAGAACAUAUCUGAGAGUAACUGUUCAGGUAUUGACGGUAUUUAACCAGAAAGCCACGGCUAACUACGUGCCAGCAGCCGCGGUAAUACGUAGGUGGCAAGCGUUGUCCGGAUUUAUUGGGCGUAAAGCGAGCGCAGGCGGUUUUUUAAGUCUGAUGUGAAAGCCUUCGGCUCAACCGAAGAAGUGCAUCGGAAACUGGGAAACUUGAGUGCAGAAGAGGACAGUGGAACUCCAUGUGUAGCGGUGAAAUGCGUAGAUAUAUGGAAGAACACCAGUGGCGAAGGCGGCUGUCUGGUCUGUAACUGACGCUGAGGCUCGAAAGUAUGGGUAGCAAACAGGAUUAGAUACCCUGGUAGUCCAUACCGUAAACGAUGAAUGCUAAGUGUUGGAGGGUUUCCGCCCUUCAGUGCUGCAGCUAACGCAUUAAGCAUUCCGCCUGGGGAGUACGGCCGCAAGGCUGAAACUCAAAGGAAUUGACGGGGGCCCGCACAAGCGGUGGAGCAUGUGGUUUAAUUCGAAGCUACGCGAAGAACCUUACCAGGUCUUGACAUACUAUGCAAGUCUAAGAGAUUAGACGUUCCCUUCGGGGACAUGGAUACAGGUGGUGCAUGGUUGUCGUCAGCUCGUGUCGUGAGAUGUUGGGUUAAGUCCCGCAACGAGCGCAACCCUUAUUAUCAGUUGCCAGCAUUAAGUUGGGCACUCUGGUGAGACUGCCGGUGACAAACCGGAGGAAGGUGGGGAUGACGUCAAAUCAUCAUGCCCCUUAUGACCUGGGCUACACACGUGCUACAAUGGAUGGUACAACGAGUUGCGAACUCGCGAGAGUAAGCUAAUCUCUUAAAGCCAUUCUCAGUUCGGAUUGUAGGCUGCAACUCGCCUACAUGAAGUCGGAAUCGCUAGUAAUCGCGGAUCAGCAUGCCGCGGUGAAUACGUUCCCGGGCCUUGUACACACCGCCCGUCACACCAUGAGAGUUUGUGACACCCAAAGUCGGUGGGGUAACCUUUUAGGAACCAGCCGCCUAAGGUGGGACAGAUGAUUAGGGUG